UACGUAGGGUGCGAGCGUUAAUCGGAAUUACUGGGCGUAAAGCGUGCGCAGGCGGUUUUGUAAGCCAGAUGUGAAAUCCCCCGGGCUUAACCUGGGAAUGGCAUUUGGGACUGCAAGGCUCGAGUGCGGCAGAGGAGACUGGAAUUCCUGGUGUAGCAGUGAAAUGCGUAGAUAUCAGGAGGAAUACCGAUGGCGAAGGCGGGUCUCUGGGCCGAUACUGACGCUGAGGAGCGAAAGCGUGGGGAGCGAACAGG
rnacentral:rRNA from 1 species